AGCUGGUCUACUCGGGGCCUGUGCUCUGGGCCUGUGGCGGUUCAGGGAGUGCGGGGGCCGGGGUCCACCUGGGCGGACCCGAGACCUGAGAACGUAGGCGGGCAGCGCCUGCAGGUUCCUCGCGCGGACGGGCGUGGCUGGGCCUCUGCGCGACCCGGGCUCCUUCUCCCCGCGGCGGCGGGAUUGGAUUCCCAAAACCAGGGUGGGGUUGGGGGACGAGAUGACAUAAUGAGCCAGUCUUCUUGCUGACACUUAAGUUGUUCUCAGUCCUCUGUUAUAUAGGCUGCAGCGAGUAUGCCAGUAUAUGAUGCUUUUAGGUGGGUUUGUGAAAUUAGAAUAACAAAGCCAUCUAUAUAAGUUUGAGAAAUAAUGCUGCAAAGUAGGAGGCUAGUGAUUGGUUCUGCAGACAGUUCAUCUACUCGUGAAGAUGCACAGGGAGACAAACUUAACCCGUGAGCAGAGGUGAAGACUGGAAUUUCAGGCAUCUUCUAACAGGUAGAGAAAGGGGAGUUGGAAAGACCUGCUUUCUGGAGUUUCAAAUUUUAAGUUCAUUUAUUAUGUGCUUUAAUCAUUCUAGUCUCAGUUGUCAGAGUUUGAAUCAAAUUAUGUUUAUGGUUAAUUGGUUAUUUUUCAUUAUGUGGUGCAAAAUACAGUAAUAAGGACCGUUUCUUGUAUGCUAACUUUAAAAUAUAUAUAUAUAUAUAUAUAUAU
rnacentral:lncRNA from 1 species